ensembl:lncRNA
AUUGAACCCAGGUCUCACACGUUGUAGGCAGACGCUUUAUUGUCUGAGGCACCAGGGAAGUCCAAUGGCAGUAUGUCUAAUGUGGCUGUCCCGAAAUGGAGUGGUUUACGGAAGGGGUUGGUAGCACACAGGAGUGUUGUUGAGCGGCCACUGGAUGUCAAGGCACCUCAAGUUAGGGAGAGGGGUUCUUCAAACUAACAAAACUCUUUUAAAAACUCUAUGUGUUAGCCAAGGAAAGCCUCACCCAGAUCACUAACCCUAAUUUGCAGGCAAGGAAAUCGGAGCACAUACAGGUCAGGGGAACAGCGCACAGUUGUAGAGUGAGUCACUGGCCAGGACUGGACACACACUUCCUGACCUCUCGACCAGGACGCCGGCCAUAGCCCUGCCUCUGGCCCCGGCAGCUCCGAGCUGACCUAGCGCGCCAAUGUGCUGAUGUCACCACGAGGGGGAGCCAGAUGCCCGUUCAUGCAGUAGCCGGGCCCAGGCUGCGGGGUGGAGGGACUGCUCCUCUGAGAGCCUCAUCCGCACAGCUGUGCGUGGAGCUGGUGAAGAAAGCGGACGAAGAGUUGGGCGCUUAUAAGAGGGCCGAAGCUCUGGAGCAGUGGCUGGGAGGGAGGGAGGACGAGGGAAGGGCAUUUGUUGCCUCCUCUGGUCCUGCUUGGUCUGGCCCUGUUGGGAAAGGAGCAGAGCUGGAGAAAGGAAGGGCUUUCCUGAGCACAGGCUUUCUGCCCCCGCCUCCGCUCGGCUCGGUCUUGCUUAAGAGCAGACCGGACAUUCCUAAAGCUCCGGCAGGAAACCGGGAAAUAGACGGGGAGGCCGGCGGCUCUGCAGCCCGCCAGUUCUUGCAAAGCAACGCUCUCCCCCGCGCCCCACCCCCAAGCCCUAGGCGCCUGGACCCUGCACCCUCCUAGAACUGCCCUCCUGACCUGCUGGCCCCUUCCUCCCAGCCUAUGGGAUCAGACCCAUUCCCUGAGCUCCAGUCCCUGAAAGAAAGUGUUAUCCACCACCGACCCCCAGGUGGAACUCAUAAUCUGUCCGCCUAAACCUGGCUGUCUUCCAGAGUUCCUUCCCUCAGUGAAUGCGAGUCUUGCAGGGAUCUUAGUUCAUCUCCAGCCAGGAAUGGAACCUAUGCCUCCUGCAGUGGAUAUGUGGAGUCUUAACCACUGGACAGCCAAGGAAGUCCCAUCUGAUAAACCUUUCAAAUCCUCAUUCUGAUCCUGUCACCUACCUGCUGAAAUCUCUCAACAGCUUCCAGUGGCUCUUGCAAUAAAGACCAAACUCUUAUUAGCAUGGCCCAUAAAGUCCUGUGAGGUCCGGUCCUUCCUCCCUCUCUGGUCCCAUCCUCCUCCUUAUUCUCUCUGUUUCAAAUGCACUGGCCAAGGUAAUCACAGGCCCUUU